rnacentral:rRNA from 1 species
CCCGGGCCUUGUACACACCGCCCGUCACGUCAUGAAAGCUGGCAACACCCGAAGCCGGUGGGCCAACCCGCAAGGGGGGCAGCCGUCGAAGGUGGGGUUGGUGAUUGGGACG